CGGCGACGACGAACAGUCCGGCAGCGGCGACGACGAACAGUCCGGCAGCGGCGACGGAGAGUCCGGCAGCGGCGACGACGAACAGUCCGGCAGCGGCGACGGAGAGUCCGGCAGCAGCGACGGAGAGUCCGGGAGCGGCGACGACGAACAGUCCGGUAGUGGCAAUGAGGGGACUGUAACCCCCCCCUCAUCCAUACUUGCAAGUGGAGCAAGCCACAAGACGAGCCUCAUCACCGCAUCUGGCAUGGUGCUGUUGUCAUGGUUACUGCUGGGCCAGCAGUAGCAUCUUGGGCCAGUUUGCCAAAAAAUCUCAGGGGGGUCCAAAAUUGGUCGCUGUGAAUCACCGAUCAUUAAGUUACAUGUGAACGGAAGUGUAUGUAAAUUAAAUAGGGGUGUAACGAUUCAUCGAUACACCGAUUACUCAAUAUAAUGCUCUACGAUUUGUUGGCAUGGAUGCUAAACGUAAACAUCGAUCUAUAUUGCCCGUUUUUGACCUCGGACAUUAGACGCGACUUUAUUUUGAAAUCCAGUUCAUUGUUGCUUGCUUCCUCUUUCCGGGAGCAGUGCGCGGUGUGUUGUGUUGUGAGCAGAGCAGGCACGUGAAAGGGGAGCCGACAACUACGCGGCUCCUGGGCUGGUGCUAUGGCUAGUGUCCAAGAAGACGAGGAAAUUCGCUCCCCUUUGGGCUUCAAGUUAUUCGUUUGGAAGCCCUUUGUAAUUUCCCAAAUAAAGAGUUUGCAGUACCUUGUUGAUUUUGCGUAUGAAUUGUUAUAAAUCAGGAUAUUGUUCUAUAUCGAUCGUAAAGCACUAUAUCGUGAUGUACCGUAAAUGAACCACAGCAGGCUUUAAGAUAUCGGUAAAUAUCGUAUCGUGUUUCUUUGUAUCGAUAUGAUAUCGUAUCGUGACAAUACCCGCGAUUUACACCCCUUAAAUUAAAGCUUUUGCAGACUGUAUAAGAAUGAAAGCAUUUAGAUUUUCUGACUGUUUAGUAAAAUUAAAGCCUGUAGAUACUAUUUAUAUGGGAGCUUUGUACACUGUGUAAGAACGAAAGUCUUUAGCCAUUUCACACAAAUGAAAGUUGUUAUACACUAUGUACAAAUUAAAGCAUUUUAAAUCUAUAUAAAAAAUUAAAGCCUUUGGACACUGUAUAAUAUCAAAGCCUUUAAACAAUGUACACUAAUGAAAGAAAACCUUCUGGUCACUAUGUAAGACUGGAAACCUUAAGGCGUGACUGUCAUGGAUGGAAUGGAGCAGGGCGACCAAAUGCAGCUUGGACCAGGGUUUAUUGGAGAACUCAAAAACAGACUAUAAGAAGCUCGACUAGGGACAAGACUAACUAAACAAAAGACAAGAUACAGACAGGAACGACGACGACAGACGAGACGAGAACAAUCCGACAGUGGACUUGGCGAGCACACAGACACUGACAGCUACAACAAUUUAAACCUAUUUACUCUGUAUACUAAACAAAUUAUUUGUUGAUUGUAUAAGAACUAAAGACUUAGUACAAUAUAUAUAGAAAUAAAAAAAUCUUUAUACACUAUAAGAAGCAAUAUGAAAAAUGUGACUGUGUAAAAAAAAAAUACAAUAAAACUUACCCUGCUGGGAUUUACCAACA